rnacentral:lncRNA from 1 species
GCUUUUGUUUCACAUUAUUAUUAAUAAACAAUAUUAAUAAUUUUGAUUUUAAUAUUCCAUGGAGCACAGCUAAAUAUAUACUUUAUCUGCUGAAUGAAAUCACAAUUUGUACACAGUGACACAUUUAUGAAGUAAAAGUUCUGUGAAACAUCCUCUCCUCAGUGAUCAUAAUUAGGACACAAUAUCACAUACUAUAUAUUCCACUUUCUUAUAAAUUUUUCCUUUGUUUGAUCAUGAACUAACACAUGUUCCAGAAUCAUUGCAGUUAGUUAUUCAUUCAUUUCAAC